CGGCCAACAAGUCUGGAUCCCCUGACAAGCCACAGUAAUGGACACCACUACUCCACUCUCUGCGGCAGACCCUGCAUAGCCCCAUUACUCCCUGACAGGCUGUAUUAACGACCAUGACCCUGCUCCACUCCCUGCAGCGGAUUCUGUGCGGGUCCCCCACUCCCUGAUGAAUCACGACAGCGGACGCCGCUCCAGUCUCUGUAACU
rnacentral:lncRNA from 1 species